UACGUAGGGCGCAAGCGUUGUCCGGAUUUAUUGGGCGUAAAGAGCUCGUAGGCGGUUUGUCACGUCUGCUGUGAAAUCCCGAGGCUCAACCUCGGGCCUGCAGUGGGUACGGGCAGACUGGAGUGCGGUAGGGGAGAAUGGAAUUCCUGGUGUAGCGGUGGAAUGCGCAGAUAUCAGGAGGAACACCGAUGGCGAAGGCAGUUCUCUGGGCCGUAACUGACGCUGAGGAGCGAAAGCGUGGGGAGCGAACAGG
rnacentral:rRNA from 1 species